UUUCCCACUCAAACCCUAACUAGCCUUCUCUAAUUUUGUUAAACCAAACUAAUCCUCCUCCACUCGGUCCAAGCCUAGUUGAACUAAACCAAUUCAGUCCUAACUAAACUAAGCACCCCAUCCUCAUUUGGUUCAAACAAGAAAAACAAUAAAAAACCUAAAGAUAAACCUACAAAAAAAAGGAAGGGCCAAAUUUGAAGACUUGGACUCAAGCUCUGACAACAGAACCUAUCCAUCUUCUUCCUCCUCUCCUCUCCAACCUUUGGCAACCCUAGCAAAAACCCUCCCUCUCACUACUACCUUCCCCAAAAUCCAACAAAACUCUCCUCCCUCUUCUCAAAUGCCAUCGAACCACCAUUAACCUUCAACCAUUUUCCUUCCAUCCUAUCCCUCAACAAAAAAAAAGAGAGAGAGAGAAAAAUGAACAAAAAAAAAUAUGCACAUCUCAAUUCGGCUAUGUGAAGGAGGAGAAGAGACAAGAAGAAGAAAGAGAGAAGAAGAAGGAUAAAGUGAAGAAGAAGAAGAGAGCCUCCAUCCUCUCAGCUAGGUAAGAGGUUAGAUGUCAACACCCUAGCAGCUCCAUUUUCUUCCUCUCUCAAUCUCACCUUCCCCAAAAAUUACAACCAAGUCAUUACCUUCACCACUUUCUUCCUUUCUCCUCCAUUCCAAGAAAGACCAAAGACCUAAGCCCCCAUACCAUGUUCUCCUUCCUCCAUUAGAGACCGGCUUAAACCCUAACCUCACUUUCCCAUCUGGUUGGAGAGAACCUGAACCUCAUUCAAAAAAAAAAAAGAAACAAAAAUCCAAGCCACUCUUCAUUCGGUCCUGUGAAGGAGAAAAGGGGAAGAAGCAAGAAGAGUUCAAGGGAAGCUCAAGUCAACCUACCCAUUUGCGGUUCAAGCAAGGCACAACCUGAGAAAGGACUGCUAACAUUUCAAUAUCCUCCACUCUACAAGUGAUUGUGCGCGAUCUGGAAGCUCCUAGCUGGAAGAUGACUUGGACCAUAGUCGCGUGGCAAGCUGGACCAAGCUACAAGACAAAGGAUCAAAGAACCCAGGGUGGUUGACUCGGUGGUGAGACUAAAAAGGCAAGAAAGAAGGCAAUUGGAAGAAAAACAAGGCAAAU